UCUUGUGACAUUUUUCAAAUGCAACUAUGUUGCGAAAAACAGUACCUCUGUGAUCACCAAUGUACAAAGGUGGAAUAGUUAGUUCCUUUACCAUAAUUCCCCAUUUUUUUCCAAAGCUUAUAUCCAUCAAUUCUCUACUCUCACAUGCUUUAGUUUUCACACCCCCUUUUUUUAGUUCUGUUAUUGAAUGAAUCAUCUGGCUCUGACAUCCUCUUGGUUCUUCGCCAAUGAGUUUUGGCCUUAUGUUGUAUCUAAGAAGAUCAAGAACAUGUUCAAUUUUGAACUUGUAAGAUGUUUGACAUUCAGGGGUUUUUCAUGAUUCGGAUUGAAGCAAUUGGUAGAAGAAUAUGAAAGAAAGAUUGUAGAAACUCAUUUGUGGUAGAAAGUUUGACAAUACAAGCUCUAAACAUAAAUUGCUUUGUUGCAUAUUGUAGAAAACAAGCUUUUAACAAGAUUACUGAUCUACGAAAAUUCAACAGACAUUGUUGCAUGCCUCUAUAGAAGCGAUUAGCUCUGGCACAGAUUUGAGAUAACAGUAUAUCUGUUUCACGAAAAAUCAUAACUCUUUGAAAAUACAAUAUGAAUAUCCGCGGGAAAAACCGCAGAAAUACCUAAAAGAAUCAAGUUAGAGAAUAAAACAAAUUCAAAGGAGCCACACGAAAUGUUCUAUUUUCCUACGAAUUUUCUUACGGUUAUAUUAUGUGUAGGGAAACUGCAGUGAUGACAUGUUGUCGUUUGAUGUUUUUUUAGGUAGGAUUUAUGCAUUUUAAGAGAGUUCAAAUGAUUUUGGGUUGGGGCAUACUCAAAUAUGAACAACUAAGAGGAUGAGAAGAGAAACAACAAGGCAGAUAGAAGAAGAAGAUAACGAACAAAUAAAGGGAAGAUAACAAACAACAUUAAUAUUUUUUAUUUCAAAAAUCUAUAAUAAGGUCAUUUUAAAAUAUUUAAUUUUCAUUUUGAUAUAUUAAUUUUAUAUCUUUUAAGAAAAAAUACAGUUAGAUUAAGAUGAAAAAUAUGGCUAAACAAUAACAUACAAUUACAAUUUUUUUGUUUUGUUUGCUACAUGAGUUGGUUAAAAUGAUGUGAACAGAACAAUGAAUUCAAUUCGGUAUAAGAAACAAAGUCAUAAUUUCAGAACCUGCAUCAAAUUAGAAACAAAAUUGUGAAUAAAAGAAAAAAAUGAAGAGUAAGUUUCAGAUGACUAAGAUGGCCUAAACAAUGUUUAAACCAUGCAGUUCAUUUUUUUUUUUUUUUUUUGUGUUACACGAUUUCUUUCAUUAAAUGGCGUGUCGCAAUAUCUAUGACACGUCCGAGCUAAACACUAGAUUCCAUUCCGUAUUUUGAGAAAUGGGACGAUAGAAACCCCCAUUUCAUAAAUAAGAAACAAAGUCAUAUUUUCGAUUAUUGACAACACAAUCUUUUUCCUCUGAUUUCCAUUUUGAAGUGUUACAAAUUUUACAGGUCUCCCUCCCUUCAUCUUCAACCCAAUAAAGCAUACACUCGUUGGGACAUGCAGGUAUCUUUAUAUAAUUCAUACCAAAUUUUGUAAUUUUUUUCUUUGCUUCAUAGAACGAACUUGGAAUACUUGCUUCAUAUAAAGUUAAACAUGAAUAUGAACCCUACAACACAUGACUUUUACCAAAAACUAAAGUUGUAGUUAGUCAGACCCAAGAAUCUCAGAAGCUGGACUCUACUGUGGUAAAGACAAAGCACCACAAAAAUCAAACUUUAUCCCCUCUAUUGUCGUAAGAACCAUGUAUGUUUUAAAGUUGUAGGUUUUGUUUUUUUUGAAGAAACAAAGUUGUAGGUUUUGUGAAUGAUUGAUUUAGCAACGAGUGAGAGUGAGAGUGAGAUGGAGAUUUGAUAGUUUUUUUUCCCCUUUUUGGUAGAAAGAUGGAGAUUUGGGGUUUUGGGAAAGUGAGAAAGGGGGGAACGAAAAUUUGGUAAAGCAGGGAAUGAAAAUAUACAAUGAUUUUGGGUGGUACUAGAUUUGAGGCAACUUUGGGUUGGGGCAUACUGAAAUAUGAACAACUAAGAGGAUGAGAAGAGAAACAACAAGGUAGAUAGAAGAAGAAGACAACGAACAAAUAAAGGGAAUGAUAGAGAAUGAUGAAGAAUAAUAUGGAUGUCUCUAGAACAAUAAAGAAUAAUGUGGAAGUCUCUAGACAUAAAAGAAUAUUAAGGAAGUCUCUAGAAUACUAAAGAAUAAUAAGGCUCACCACCAAGUGUGUAGAAUACUCAUAUCAUUGAAUCAUUCAAGUAAUAUAACUUUUAUUUGAGAAUAUUAGAGAGUUUCUCUAUUUUCUCUACCUUUCCUUUUGUCCCUAAGUCAGAUUUUUGAGUUUGAGCGAAAAAAUCAACGUUGGAGAAUGAUAGAGAAUAGAAACAUCAAGGUGGGUAGAAGAAGAUAACAAACAACAUUAUUUCAAAAAUCUUGAGAUGGAAGCCCUCCACUCACAAUAUAAUUGUAGAAGGGAAACAAUUUCACAGACAAUAAAGAGUUCAUGAUUAAACCAUGCAGUUCAUAAUAAGAUCAUUUUAAAAUAAUUAAUAUUCAUUUUGAACCUGUUAUUUUCAUUUUAAACCAUGCAUGGUUUAUAUAUGGUGGAAGCCCCAUUUUUAAUUCGGUUUAUUUUGAUUAUAAUUAUGUGUUUAAACUAAGAAUACAUAAUGAUACAAGGUUGAAAUAAAAUCUCCUCCACACACUCACAACAUACAUAAUUGUAGAAGGGAAACAAAGUUCACUCAUAACACAAUAAAUAAAAGAUCGAUAAAACACGCAUGCAAUAAUUAUAGAAAUCAGGCCUUAUUUGGUAACAGAUAAACAUCUAUAAGCUAGCCUGGUAAUCAAGCAAGCAAUUAUAUAUAGUUUAUCUGUGAUAUAUGGCCUGCCGUACGUGGAUAAGAUUUUUAAUUACUAUAGCUUGGUAGGUAGCUAUAGUAAUCAAUAAUCUCAAUUAUCAGAAUGGGUGAGGAUUUGAAUGGAUGGAGUUGUGAUUUAAUCCAUGACAUAUCCUAGCUGAUCUAUAUAGUUGUACACUAAUUAUAAUCAAUAUUAUACACGUCACACUUGUGUUCACACCAUGGUUAUUAUGGUUGUUAGGGAAAUCAUGAUGAGCAUUAUUGUUCAUAAUUUUCAGUCGGUGUUCGUAAUAAAAAUAUUACUCGCAAAUCCUUUAUCAUUGACUGUGCAUAAAUAGUAUAAUGAAGGUACAUAUACGUGUGGCUGAAGUCCUUAUUAAGAGUUGCCAGAAAAGCAUCUGUAAAUGCACAUAAAUAGAAGUAAUAAUGGCCUAAUGAGUAAUGAGGGCUCAUAUAGGAAAAUAAUGCAUGAUCAAACCCUCAUCUACUGACUUACUGGCUUCACCAUCAAAAUACAUAAAUGCAGUUUUAAAUUGCUCUAUCUCUAUUAUUAUAUGUUUCCGUGUUUCACUAUCUAGCCAAGAGUAGUAAAAAAAAAGGACUAAACGCUUGGUUCCCAAUCCCAGACAACAAAAUCAAUGUUUCAUAGCAGUUUCUAUCUUUUUUGUUUCCUCAGUGACUAAAAAAAAAUAUUGUUGGAAUCCACCUAUUUGGGUUAAUAUUGUGGUGGUUCGUUGAGACAUUAGAGUCUGCACUUCUCAAGAUUUUAGAUUUGAUUUUUCCAGUCUGAUUUCUAUAGGUUACUUUGACUUCUUAAAAAUAUUGUUGGAGUGAUUGUUUCUAAAUAUUCAUUCCCCUAACAACCAUCGUGUGAACACGAGUGUGAUCUAUCUAUAUAUAAGAGAAAAUCUAAGUUGGUCACAAACACAAAUAAAAAUGAUUUAGGCACAUACACAUAGAUAAGAAAAACUUAAAGAUAAAAGUAAAAAAUGACGUGACUAAUUUAUUUUUCUUUUAAUUCUUUCAUUUAUGUAUGUGUGUCAAAAUAUUUUUGAUUUGGGUUUGUAACUAAGUAAGAAUUGCUGCACAAAGUAAAAAUAUUUUUGACUUGGUUUUGUAACUAAGUUGUAUAUAAAUCAUUCACUCGAUGUUCUGUGAGGCUGGGUUCUAUCCAUUUCGGCUGCAUAUGCCUCUGAUGUUUUAGAUGAUGUCUCAACAUGUCAUUUUUGCUUUAUUUUUUAAAAUUGUCUUUUUUAAAGCUCAAGUUUUCCUGUUAUCUUCUUUCGUGAUGAGUACUUGUGUUAAAGUGAAGAAGGUAUGACUGUAUGAUCUCCUGCUCGUAUUUAUCUAUGCAGGGUCUUUGGUUUUGAAGAUAUCUGUUGUGAAGGUUGUUUUAGCCAAUAUUUGUCAAAUGGGAAGAUUGUUAGGUUUAUAAACUAUAGUUGACUACAUUUUUUUAAAACAAGAGCUCUAGCAAGAUGUCUUAUCAUGGUAGUGCGACAUCAUAGCGAACCUUGUUCUAGUAAGAUAUCAGACAAGUUGUCUUGUCAUUGAUAACAAAAAACAUUUAUAUUUAUAUUUCUAAUCAAAAUCAAAAUUUCAUUAAAAAACACACUGUUAAUAAUUUUUAAACAUUAGCGUAAUAAAAGAGGACGGUUUUUGCUAGUUAUUAACAAAAUAUAAUAUUUUGUACUUGCUUGAUCGGUUUUAAAUUGUUUGGUGUAAAAGGCAGAAACUGAAGCAUUCAAGUCUUUGUAUUUAAUUUUUGAAGUACGUUCAAAAGGAAUGAUUCUAUGAAGUCUUUGAAUUAUUUAGACAUGUCUUAAUACUAAUAACCUUGUAUAUGUUUGGUAUUGUCAAAUUUCUUGUAGUGCAAUUCACCAUACACAAAUAAUUGAAAUCAAUGGAGAUCUUCUUGAUGUAGCAACAAACACUCCAAAAAAAAUAACUACAGUUACAUAUCUUAGCUCUUCGAACACAUCCAAAUGAUCGACAAAUCACCGAUCAAACCUGACAACCUGGUCACUGUGCUUUUAAGGAUGCCCUUGACCUUGAGGCUGCUCUAAGAAGGAUGAAGAACAUGGAAAAUAUUUUCACAAAAUUAUCAAGUGCACUAAUACACAAAAGGUUCGGUGUGCUGCCUAGUUAAAUGAUGAAGAUGAAAAUUGGUGUGAGAAUUUUCAAGUUUGUUGGGAUCAACAUGGAAUAUUUUCUGUUGUAUUUUGAUUUGUCCUUUUAAGACAAGAAAUAAGCUGUUUUCUAAUCCCUAUAUCAAACAACUGUGCCUGUCGGAAAAUAUGCUACUAAAUUCGAGGAACUGUCUCGUUUUUAUCAUUCUUACCGUAAUGCUAACAGUGAUCAUUCAAAGUGAUUGAAGAUCGUGAAUGGACUGCGUUAUAUCAAGUUGUGACUUUAGACGCUAUUUUUUGGUUAUAAGAACGUUGUUGCCAAUCCAAGUGUAGCAUGGAAUUCAUAAAACACUUGAUUUUCCUUCUCUAUGAAAAAAAACUAUAAAUAUAUGCUCCAACUUUAAAUAAAUACAAGAAGAGAUUGCAAGGGAAAACUAGCUCACAAACAAUAUCGCAAUGAAAGAAAAUACAUAGAAAGAGAAAAUAAGUAGAGACAUCGAUCACAUGUAUGACAAGCAUCAAUCCCUGAUAUGUAGAUAUUCAAUUAUUAGUACCAUGGUCGAUUUUUUUACUGACAUCGUCGAAUACUGUAUAGUGAGGAGGGUCACGAAAUGGAAUUAUAAUCAAACUUCUUAUCACUGAACUGAACUUUGCUUUCUCCAGUUUUGUGGCCGCAUCUGCGAAACCACAAAUUGCUUGUAUGAAUGUAAAAUAAAGUGCCAAAAGAGCACCUAAUGUAGAAAGUCCCACAGCCCAACUUGUUAAAUAGUUAUGAACAAGCGAAGCUCUGAAUCUCGCACGCCAACAACCCAAAUACUCAUUCGCCUCAUUCACCACGUUGUACAAAUAUGACUCAUUCAUAUCAGGAACUAUUUCUUUAGCUAUGUUGUUGAUCAAUUCCGCGACAUGUUCAUCACUUCCUAAAGAAUGAUGAAUAACCCCUUUAUAAUGAAGAGCAGAAACAUCAUUAGCUGAAUUUAUGAGUCUGUUUAAGAAAAACAUGUAAGUUGUCAUGUCUGGAUUGCAUCUCUUGUGACAUUUUUCAAAUGCAACUAUGUUGCGAAAAACAGUACCUCUGUGAUCACCAAUGUACAAAGGUGGAAUAGUUAGUUCCUUUACCAUAAUUCCCCAUUUUUUUCCAAAGCUUAUAUCCAUCAACUCUCUACUCUCGCAGGCUUUAAUUUUCACACCCCCUUCUUUUAGUUCUGUUAUUGAAUGAAUCAUCUGGCUCU
rnacentral:lncRNA from 1 species